UUUUGGUCGCCAACGAGUGGCGGACGGGUGAGUAACACGUAGGUAACCUGCCCAGAAGCGGGGGACAACAUUUGGAAACAGAUGCUAAUACCGCAUAACAACGUUGUUCGCAUGAACAACGCUUAAAAGAUGGCUUCUCGCUAUCACUUCUGGAUGGACCUGCGGUGCAUUAGCUUGUUGGUGGGGUAAUGGCCUACCAAGGCGAUGAUGCAUAGCCGAGUUGAGAGACUGAUCGGCCACAAUGGGACUGAGACACGGCCCAUACUCCUACGGGAGGCAGCAGUAGGGAAUCUUCCACAAUGGGCGCAAGCCUGAUGGAGCAACACCGCGUGAGUGAAGAAGGGUUUCGGCUCGUAAAGCUCUGUUGUUAAAGAAGAACACGUAUGAGAGUAACUGUUCAUACGUUGACGGUAUUUAACCAGAAAGUCACGGCUAACUACGUGCCAGCAGCCGCGGUAAUACGUAGGUGGCAAGCGUUAUCCGGAUUUAUUGGGCGUAAAGAGAGUGCAGGCGGUUUUCUAAGUCUGAUGUGAAAGCCUUCGGCUUAACCGGAGAAGUGCAUCGGAAACUGGAUAACUUGAGUGCAGAAGAGGGUAGUGGAACUCCAUGUGUAGCGGUGGAAUGCGUAGAUAUAUGGAAGAACACCAGUGGCGAAGGCGGCUACCUGGUCUGCAACUGACGCUGAGACU
rnacentral:rRNA from 2 species